rnacentral:rRNA from 1 species
CCUACGGGUGGCAGCAGUGAGGAAUAUUGGUCAAUGGGCGCGAGCCUGAACCAGCCACGUAGCGUGAAGGAUGACUGCCCUACGGGUUGUAACCUUCUUUUAUAAAGGAAUAAAGUGAGGCACGUGUGCCUUUUUGUAUGUACUUUAUGUAUAAGGCUCGGCUAACUCCGUGCCAGCAGCCGCGGUAAUACGGAGGAUCCGAGCGUUAUCCGGAUUUAUUGGGUUUAAAGGGAGCGUAGAUGGGUUGUUAAGUCAGUUGUGAAAGUUUGCGGCUCAACCGUAAAAUUGCAAUUGAUACUGGCAGUCUUGAGUACAGUUGAGGUAGGCGGAAUUCGUGGUGUAGCGGUGAAAUGCUUAGAUAUCACGAAGAACUCCGAUGGCGAAGGCAGCUUACUAAACUGCCACUGACACUGAUGCGCGAAAGUGUGGGUAGCAAACAGGAUUAGAUACCCUAGUAGUC